UACGUACCGUCCAAACGUUAUUCGGAAUUACUGGGCUUAAAAGGGUACGUAGGCGGCUUUAUAAGUCGGGGGUGAAAGCCUGUGGCUCAACCACAGAAUUGCCUUCGAUACUGUAUGGCUUGAGACCGGAAGAGGUAAGUGGAACUGCGAGUGUAGAGGUGAAAUUCGUAGAUAUUCGCAAGAACACCAGUGGCGAAGGCGGUGCUCUGGGCCGGGAACUGACGCUGGAGGAGCGAAA
rnacentral:rRNA from 1 species